CAAGUAUUGAGGAGUAUGUUAUAAGAUCAUAUUCAAAAGCAUUGGUACGCAUCUCUUUCAUCAGUCUUGCAGCUUCCUCGAACAUGCCAGCACGACUUAGGCAACCAAGAAUGGUGUUGUAAGAGACAGCAUCAGGCUUAAUUGUUGAAUGUUUCAUUUUUGUAAACAUCUCGAUCGCUCGCUGAGGGUCACCAGUCUUGGACAAACCAUUUAGUAUUAUGUUAAAUGAGUUCAAGUCGGGAGCACAACCAUUUUCUUCCAUACUACGAAACAUGGAAAAAGCCUCAUCUAGCAUACCUGACCUCACCAGUCCGGACAUGAGUGCAUUAUGUGCAUAUACAUCAGGAGAACAUCCCAGCUUUUG
rnacentral:misc_RNA from 1 species